rnacentral:lncRNA from 1 species
AAUCAGAUUGGUCAAAGUGCUGUCAUAAUUCAUCAAUCGAGUUCGCGAAUUGUAUUCUACGGAGUGUUAACAUGUAAAUGUGAUACGGGAAAUAACAAAUAUUCAUUUUAUUCAAACGAGACACAUUAUUUUAAUAAGUUCUUGCAUAAGAAAUCAUAUCGCAACCAGAUACUCAACAUUACCAACAAUUAAAAUGUAGUAGAUAUGCUGAACUGUACACCUUUCGUUGCAGAAGAAACGCGAGCAAGUGAGGCACUGAAUGAAAUGUAAAAGCUAUUAACUCCCUAAUUUAGUUCAUAUGAAAAGUGGCAACCAUGGCCUAAGGCAAUCUAAAUUCCACUGGAAGCACAUUCUUCCAUAAAUGGUUAAUCCGAAAUAGCCAUCCGUUAUACCCGUAAUACCCUGUAGCAAGUAACAUAAGCAGGCGAUGUUUCACCUACAUAGCAAAGUGUACACAGAUAACAUAAACACACCGAACAGAACAGGAAAACAAGAAGGAGCCGAAGGAGAAGGAAUGGUGUGCACGUUCAUUGCAUCAGACGUCUAAAUCGAAAUCGCAACGAAUUCAAUGCUUACUUAACCCACGCCGCAGUGCUAAUUCCGUCAACUUACAUUUAACCGCCCACAAUUUUAGCACUCACAUAUUGCAAGUGGGCGGAUUAUUGUGAUUGGCACCGCCCAGCUGGUGGAGUAGAUGCACUAGUAACGAAACGCUAUCAACCGGAAGUGACGACAACAACGGACAACGCCUAAAAGCAUACUGUGGAAUUUUAUUUCUUUAUUUGUCACGCUUGCUUGAUUUUAUUUUUAAUUAUCCGGCGCUGGCUGUGAAAAUGAAUUCCGCGAAUGGCAAACCAACAUGAACAACCAUAAAGAAAUGCAAAGUCAGCCAAAGCUUUUUUUGUAGGCAAAGGAUGGGUUAAUUAACCCAUCGUCCAGUGGCCAACUAAUCUAAAUGAUUUGUGAGGCGAGGCAAAGCGAAGGAAAGAGUUUUAAAACUAAAUUAAAGGAAGUAAAAGUCGGUAGCGUAAUUUGUCUAUUAGGAUUUUAAUGACAGCAUUGCGUAUACAAUGAUGUAAUUUUAAUGCCACCAACCAGGCGAUAUCUUAACGGUCAUUAUUUGUUAAGUUGCCCCACCAC